GACGAACGCUGGCGGCGUGCUUAACACAUGCAAGUCGAACGGAAAGGCCCUGCUUUUGUGGGGUGCUCGAGUGGCGAACGGGUGAGUAACACGUGAGUAGCCUGCCCUUGACUUUGGGAUAACUUCAGGAAACUGGGGCUAAUACCGGAUAGGAGCUCCUGCUGCAUGGUGGGGGUUGGAAAGUUUCGGCGGUUGGGGAUGGACUCGCGGCUUAUCAGCUUGUUGGUGGGGUAGUGGCUUACCAAGGCUUUGACGGGUAGCCGGCCUGAGAGGGUGACCGGCCACAUUGGGACUGAGAUACGGCCCAGACUCCUACGGGAGGCAGCAGUGGGGAAUAUUGCACAAUGGGCGGAAGCCUGAUGCAGCAACGCCGCGUGCGGGAUGACGGCCUUCGGGUUGUAAACCGCUUUCGCCUGUGACGAAGCGUGAGUGACGGUAAUGGGGAAAGAAGCACCGGCUAACUACGU
rnacentral:rRNA from 1 species